rnacentral:rRNA from 1 species
CUACGGGAUGCUCCAGUGAGGAAUAUUGCACAAUGGGGGGAACCCUGAUGCAGCAACGCCGCGUGGAGGAUGACGCAUUUCGGUGUGUAAACUCCUUUUAUAUGUCAAGAAAAUGACGGUAGCAUAUGAAUAAGCACCGGCUAACUCCGUGCCAGCAGCCGCGGUAAUACGGAGGGUGCAAGCGUUACUCGGAAUCACUGGGCGUAAAGGACGCGUAGGCGGGUUGGAAAGUCAGGUGUGAAAUCCUACAGCUUAACUAUAGAACUGCACUUGAAACUUCUAAUCUAGAGUAUGGGAGGGGGAGAUGGAAUUAGUGGUGUAGGGGUAAAAUCCGUAGAUAUCACUAGGAAUACCUAAAGCGAAGGCGAUCUCCUGGAACAUUACUGACGCUAAGGCGUGAAAGCGUGGGGAGCAAACAGGAUUAGAUACCCGGGUAGUC